CAGGACUGUUACUUUGAAAAAUUAGAGUGUUUAAAGCAGGCUAACGCCUGAAUACAUUAGCAUGGAAUAAUGAAAUAGGACGUUUGAUCCUAUUUUGUUGGUUUCUAGGAUUGACGUAAUGAUUAAUGGGGAUAGUUGGGGGCAUUAGUAUUCAAUUGUCAGAGGUGAAAUUCUUGAAUUUAUUGAAGACUAACUACUGCGAAAAGCAUUUUGCCAAGGAUGUUUUCAUUAAUCAAGAACGAAAGUUAGGGGAUCGAAGACGAUCAGAUACCGUCGUAGUCUUAACCAUAAACUAUGCCGACUAGGGAUCGGAUGAUGUUAAUUUUUAAUGACUCAUUCGGCGCCUUACG
rnacentral:rRNA from 1 species